rnacentral:rRNA from 1 species
AGAGUUUGAUCCUGGCUCAGGAUGAACGCUGGCGGCGUGCCUAACACAUGCAAGUCGAGCGAUUCUCUUCGGAGAAGAGCGGCGGACGGGUGAGUAACGCGUGGGUAACCUGCCCUGUACACACGGAUAACAUACCGAAAGGUAUGCUAAUACGGGAUAACAUAUUUUGAUGGCAUCAUCGAAAUAUCAAAGCUCCGGCGGUACAGGAUGGACCCGCGUCUGAUUAGCUAGUUGGUGAGGUAAUGGCUCACCAAGGCAACGAUCAGUAGCCGACCUGAGAGGGUGAUCGGCCACAUUGGAACUGAGACACGGUCCAAACUCCUACGGGAGGCAGCAGUGGGGAAUAUUGCACAAUGGGCGAAAGCCUGAUGCAGCAACGCCGCGUGAGCGAUGAAGGCCUUCGGGUCGUAAAGCUCUGUCCUCAAGGAAGAUAAUGACGGUACUUGAGGAGGAAGCCCCGGCUAACUACGUGCCAGCAGCCGCGGUAAUACGUAGGGGGCUAGCGUUAUCCGGAAUUACUGGGCGUAAAGGGUGCGUAGGUGGUUUUUUAAGUCAGAAGUGAAAGGCUACGGCUCAACCGUAGUAAGCUUUUGAAACUGAGAAACUUGAGUGCAGGAGAGGAGAGUAGAAUUCCUAGUGUAGCGGUGAAAUGCGUAGAUAUUAGGAGGAAUACCAGUUGCGAAGGCGGCUCUCUGGACUGUAACUGACACUGAGGCACGAAAGCGUGGGGAGCAAACAGGAUUAGAUACCCUGGUAGUCCACGCCGUAAACGAUGAGUACUAGGUGUCGGGGGUUACCCCCCUCGGUGCCGCAGCUAACGCAUUAAGUACUCCGCCUGGGAAGUACGCUCGCAAGAGUGAAACUCAAAGGAAUUG